rnacentral:rRNA from 1 species
CCCUUAGAUGUUCUGGGCCGCACGCGUGCUACACUGAACGGUUCAAUGGGUAAGGUAGUGCGAAAGCAUGACCUAAUCUCGAAAUCCGUUCGUGCUGGGGAUAGAAGCUUGCAAUUAUCCUUCUUGAACGAGGAAUACCUUGUAAGCGUGAGUCAUCAUCUCACGCUGAAUACGUCCCUGCCCUUUGUACACACCGCCCGUCGCUCCUACCGAUUGAGUGGUCCGGUGAGGCCUUGGGAGGGCUAAGUGGGCUGUGUUUCACAGACUACCUGGCCCGAACCUGGUCAAACCUUAUCACUUAGAGGAAGGAGAAGUCGUAACA